UCCGGAUCGACCAGUGUUUUACUGCAUUUUCAAACCAGUUUUGUGAUAGUCGUAAUCAUAUAGGUCUCACGCAUGAAAUAUCUUAUCGUGUUAUGUCAUUUAUUAGUAUGCUUUCUUCCUAUUCUCAUUCGAGUAUAUGCAAAUCGCUUAAAAUAAUAAUUGAGACGAAUAAUCCAAGAAAAUAGAAUUAUCUUCUAAUCGAUGUUCGUAGUCACCAUAUCUCUACUGUUUUGUACAGUUCACAUCCUUCCAAAUUGUUUUCAUUCACGAAAUGUAACGGAAUUUCGAAACUUGAUCACAGUUUAACAAGAAUCGUAGAGAUCUCUCGUUGAGAGUGUGAACGGAAGAAGUUACGGGAUAUGCGAUAACCAUUUUGUAAUACGAAUUUUAAAUUACUUGAUUGUACUUCCAAAACACUUCGGGUUCAGUGAACAAUUGAGUAGGAACGAGGCAGCUGUCAGUCCAUGUGCCGCAGCGUGAUAUGUAAAUGGAACGUAAAUUCGUAAGCAUGACGAUAGGGUAAGCAGCCCUUUGGAGGGAAACCCCUUCGGGUUAAGGCAGACGUUGUACACUAUUAUUUUUACAUCGAUGUCACGGAUCCGUCCGCAUUUCACGUCAGUCGAGUACACUGUAUAAUGGAUUUCAGAGUUUUCCGUCGAUAACUGUAAACGAGAACGAAUGUUACGAGACGUGCAAGCGAGUUUACGUCAUUAAUCGAUAAUAUUAACCAGAGUUUCUACGGAACGGUUAUUGUACCCUACUGAAAUAAGCACGUAAAGAGUUUUGUAGAGAAAGUAAGUUAUAAAUCGAUUAAAAGACCAAAACGAAACAAAGAAUAUAUCAUUGGUGGAUCAAAAGAAGAUUAAUUUAUAUUGUACAACAAAGAAGCUGUUGAGGAAAAUGUCAGAGACCUUAUAAAAGCGAAUACAUGUAUAUAUAUACACCACGAAACCAGCGUAUAAGCGGACAACGAAGUACUCUUACAGUCUAAUACGUAACGAAAGAUUAUGUCUCGUAUUAAAGUGCGUUAUAUUACGACCUUGAGCAAAUUCUAUCUCGUCAAAGAAAUUCUUUAAAGAGACAAUGGAUUGCGGAAAGUGUCAGCGAGAUAGUAUGAAAUAUCGAAGACUUCUGUUUUUUACGAUCCAGAUACUUUCUUCAAUUUUUUUGUGUUAAUUUUUAUAGCAGUACAUCAUGAUACUAAAGCAAUAUCUUGUCUGCCUGCCUGCCUGCCUGCUUGCUUGCCUGAUUGCCGAAGAAGAAGAACUCGAGAGACCGGAUGGUUAGUUAACGUUGGGUUAGGUUGUGUCUUCUAGAUCGUACAGAACUUAAGGCCACAAUAAACGGCAGUUUCUCAGGACUUCUCCCACUUGUCUCUGUUCUCAACCAAGACCUAAUCGUUUCUUCCUUAGUCCACCUAUCGAGCAACCAGAAAUUUCCUCUCUUUUUCCCGCUUUCUUUCUUUAACCUUCUCUUUGUACAUCACCUUCGCGAACUUAGCUCACGGUAUGAU